rnacentral:rRNA from 1 species
CACCGGCGUCCUUAGUGGGAAUCACUUAUUAGGUCUAAAGCGCUCGUAGUCGGCUUUGUAAAUUUCUUGUGAAAUCGUGUCGCUUAACGGCACGGCGUGCAGGAAACACUGCAGAGCUUGGGACUGGGAGGCGUCAGAAGUAUUCCUUAGGGAGCGGUAAAAUGUGAUAAUCUAAGGAGGACUACCUGUGGCGAAGGCGUCUGACGAGAACAGGUUCGACGAUCAGGAGCGAAGGCUAGGGGAGCAAACCGG